ACAUCCUGCCCCGCAAAAGGCAGCUUCACCAAAGUGGGGUAUUUCCAGCCUUUGUAGCUUUCACUUCCACAUCUACCAAGUGGGCGGAGUGGCCUUCUGUGGACGAAUCAGAUUCCUCUCCAGCACCGACUUUAAGAGGCGAGCCAGGGGGUCAGGGUCCCAGAUGCACAGGCGGAGAAGCAGGAGCUGUCGGGAAGAUCAGAAGCCAGUCAUGGAUGACCAGCGCGACCUUAUCUCCAACAAUGAGCAACUGCCCAUGCUGGGCCGGCGCCCUGGGGCCCCGGAGAGCAAGUGCAGCCGCGGAGCCCUGUACACAGGCUUUUCCAUCCUGGUGACUCUGCUCCUGGCUGGCCAGGCCACCACCGCCUACUUCCUGUACCAGCAGCAGGGCCGGCUGGACAAACUGACAGUCACCUCCCAGAACCUGCAGCUGGAGAACCUGCGCAUGAAGCUUCCCAAGCGUGCGUGCACCCCUACAUCCUGAUACCCCCCACCUCCCACCAUCCCUCAACUCAGAGACCCGCAUCCCUGCACCCAGCUGGGCCCACUGUCCUCUCCCUCCGGUUUGGAAUUCCAGCCCUUCCUCAUCUGGGUCUGAUACCCCCCUCCCUGGGCACCGGGGCCACACUUACCCUCGUUCCUGUCCCCACAGCUCCCAAGCCUGUGAGCAAGAUGCGCAUGGCCACCCCGCUGCUGAUGCAGGCGCUGCCCAUGGGAGCCCUGCCCCAGGGGCCCAUGCAGAAUGCCACCAAGUAUGGCAACAUGACAGAGGACCAUGUGAUGCACCUGCUCCAGGUGAGUGCAGGGAGCUAGCUGGGUGGCCCUGCCUGCCCACCCAGGACCCUGGCCGGGCCAAGCUCCAAGGCCUGUAUACCUGGCUCAUGGCAGACUUUCAACAUGUGCUCUCUGGAUUACUGAAUACAAGGGUGACCCUUAAAUGUUAUAUGUAGUCUGGCCUCUGCAUUUUUGAGAUAAACAGGCUCGGCUGGGUGCAGUGGCUCAUGCCUGUAAUCUC
rnacentral:sRNA from 1 species